AAAAAAGAAGAAAACCAUCGAGCUCUCUCGAUUCAUGUGCACACCCCAUCCCCUCACGUUUCCCGAGCCGCCCCCUAAGUUUUUCUUUUCUUUAGCGCGACGCCCGAGACCCCUCCGAUCUCCAUCUCUCUCUUGUGCCUCUCCCUCUCCGCAACCCACCGCCUCUAGUUGCUCAUGCUCCGUGCGCCGCACCCUCUCACCCCCUCCACCCAAUCAUCCGUUCGCGCCAAGCCCUAUACCGCACGACGCCACUCGCCGUUCGUGGCGUCAGCCGCGCCACCGUGACUCGCCCAGCCUCGCCAGCCGCCGUCCGCACUGCCAGCUCGCCGUACCUGUCCGGCUCACGUAGAGGUUGCUGUCGCUGUCCAAUCUCUCUGCCGCCGAAAUUUUGGGUUGUUUCUCGUUGGGUCUUGAAAACUUUGGAUUCAAGAUUUGAGAUUUCUAAGGGCAUUGCUCAACAAAGUAAAGGUCAAUUUUCUUUUGAAGUUUGGUAAGUUUGGAGUAAGUUGUUGCUUCGAGCCAGACACUAGAUGUCAUGCUUCCACGAGCCAGACACUAGAUGUAUGCAAGCAUGACAGCCUGAUAAUAUAGUAUAAUCGAUGUAUGUUUUUGUAUGAGGAUCUGAAAGAUUAAAUGCGCAUAUAGAUACUUUACCCAAUUGGUUUUAGUCCAUGAGAUUGUAUUUGAUCUCGGACAAUGAGAUGUAUAUGUAUGUUAUAGAACCAUGAUAAUAAGAUGUUUAUGUAUGUUAUA